rnacentral:lncRNA from 1 species
GGCGUGAAAAUCUUUUUUCAUGUUAAGAAACUUGGAAUCUUAGGAGAGGUGUGUGAGGUAUGAAGGGGCAUGAAGGGAUCUCAUCCCUUCAUAGCAUGUAUCCCUUUACAUGAAAACAAGAGGUAUCAAACCUCUUAGGCAUGAAAUAAAGAGGGAGCGCGAUCCUCUCUUUAUGGCACUUAUCCAAGGCAAGAGAUCUCAUCCCUUUUAAAGAAGAUAGGUUUCUUAUUAGAUUAGGAGUCCACCAUGCUAACC